UACGAAGGGGGCUAGCGUUGCUCGGAAUCACUGGGCGUAAAGCGCACGUAGGCGGAUUGCUAAGUCAGGGGUGAAAUCCUGGAGCUCAACUCCAGAACUGCCUUUGAUACUGGCGACCUUGAGUCCGGGAGAGGUGAGUGGAACUGCGAGUGUAGAGGUGAAAUUCGUAGAUAUUCGCAAGAACACCAGUGGCGAAGGCGGCUCACUGGCCCGGUACUGACGCUGAGGUGCGAAAGCGUGGGGAGCAA
rnacentral:rRNA from 1 species